rnacentral:rRNA from 1 species
CACGUAGGGCGCAAGCGUUGUCCGGAAUUAUUGGGCGUAAAGAGCUCGUAGGCGGUCUGUUGCGUCCGCUGUGAAAACUCGGGGCUUAACCCCGAGCCUGCAGUGGAUACGGGCAGACUAGAGGUAGGUAGGGGAGAAUGGAAUUCCCGGUGUAGCGGUGAAAUGCGCAGAUAUCGGGAAGAACACCAGUGGCGAAGGCGGCUAUCUGGACGGUUUCUGACGCUAAGACGCGAAAGCGUGGGGAGCAAACAGG